rnacentral:lncRNA from 1 species
UGCGUCCUGGUGAGGACACUGCGUUUCUUUCAGACUUUGAAGAUCUGUCGUUUUAGAAAAGUGGCUGCCUCUGUCACCAGCCCCAUGGUUACUGUUCUGUAGUGUGACUGUCAGGAGGUGUUUCUCAGUCCUUCGUUGUAAGAAUGUAGAUGCCGAUUGCACCUUCUGUUGUCUUGGAAGAGACUGCAGUGCUUGGCUGGAAAAUAAGCUGCUCGGGACCCCUCUGAGAAGCCAAAGUGAAGCUCAGAGAUGGAAAAUUUGGGCAGUUGUCUGGACAUUAGGAGUUGAGUCACCUCCUACCCAUGAGGAACAAGCCUGUGGGGGGACUGAUAUUAUCACUUCUGUCAUCAAGAAAUAAGGCCACAGGCAUCCCUGAAUAUAGAGCAUUUAUUAAUCGAACUGUGAAAAUGAAACACAGACAGUGAUGACAGCUGGAAGUUGGCCAAUGUCCUGUUGUCAUGUUGCCCUUAGCCUAGGGACUGGCCUGUGGCUCACUGACCCUGUCUCCCACUCUCCACCUCUCAUCAGCACCUGGACCUGGUGCACCUGGUCUACCUCAUGUCCAGUGUUUUCCGCAGUACCUGACUGGUAUCCCCACCCUUGGUUGUUGUGUGGUGAGCUCGUCCCUAUGUUGGCAAGUUACUUAAUUCCUAGGUGUCCCGCCUUCCUCAUUGUGAAAAGAGAAUAGUCAUAGCACGAAUGUCAUGAGUCCUUGUGAAGAUUUUAUGAUUAGCACACAAGUUACAAGGAGACACGAUAACUGUUAUGUACAUACUCAUUCAUUCGGAAGUAUAACAGACAGCUUAGUAUCUCCACCUGGGUCCCUCUGCCCUGUGGGAAUCCAUAAAGAAUUGAUUCUCAUCCCCCAGAAGUGAGAUCCC